AAAAAGGACAGGUCCACUUACUACAAAGGACAGUCAAGCACUUACAAGCUCUGAGGCCAGACCACUAUACCACCAGAGGCUGAAGGGUUCCUCUCCUGAAAGGUCUGCUGGAUGGUGCAGGUCUCCUCUGAAACAUCCUCCAGGUGCACUUUUCUGCC